AGCUUCCAGUGUGCUGAACUUGUCACACCUGCCCUGAAGUUUGUGACCCUAAAUAAUGUAACCUUCUUUUAAGGGCCAUGUCUCCUCCCAGACACUGAAAUGUUUGAUGUCCUGCUGUAGGUUUCUGAGGACCCAGGAAGGACAUGGUUAAGCAAGAGCUGGGAAGAUGACCUGAGCCUGGGUCUGUCACCAUAACUCUGCAAGAUGGGAGCACCCCUGCUCUAAGUGAUAACAUGGACAGUGACCUAGGUGAACCUUGUCCAGUGGCACUGGCCAGUGGAUGAAGUAGGAGUUGGUCUCCUGUUUGCUCUGAAGUUCUUGUCACUGCUCUUGUUCCCAGUCUGACUCCUGUCUGAUGUAUUCCUGGAUCCUUUGGUGGUGAUGGGCACAAAGCCUAUCCAUUCCCAAACCAGUUCUACCCUGCUGUUUUCUCCUCUGCUCUAAGAUCAUUCUUUUCUCCUGUUAUCAUUCUUUCUUCCAGUUAUCUUUGGACUUAGCCCCAUAGUGAAAAAUUCCAGAACUUGGUAUGGGGACUGGAGCCCUAUAGAGCAGAUAUGGGAUAAAAUAGAUGAAACUGAGCUUCACUUGUAAUAUUCGAAUUUGGGAUGCAGAGACAGCAGGAUUUUGAGCUCAAUGUCAGUGUGGUCUGUAUGGAGAGUACUAGGCAAGGGCUAAGUAAAGAGAUGCUGACUCAAAACCAAAAGAAGGUUCCACAUCUCAUGCUUAUUCUAAUGAAGCAAAAAUUAAAUGUGGCAAAAUUCCAUUUCUACUAUUUAAAAUAUUAAGCAAAUAUUUUCAUAAGCACAAUUUUGAAAGCACUGACAAGAACAAAGAUCCGGUUUCAUAUGUUAAAGUCCUCAGCUGUCACUGGUGGAGAGUGUUUGUACAGCAGGGAAGUGGGCUUUAUUAAAUUGGUGAUAUGAGUGAGAUAUUUUGUAUGGCCGAGGGCUAUGCAUAUGGGCAACAUGAAACUGAGGAUUAUGACAUAAUAUGACGUGCUAUUACCUCGGAUUCAGAGUUUGACAUAGAGUUUCCUAUCUGCAUGCACACAGUAUGGACUCCCAUUGUACGGUAUCUUACUAGUUAGGAAUGUACAGGAUCACUUCAUUCCUGCACUGUCCAUGUGAAAUUCAACCUCAAAUGUGGAUGCUAUUUUACCUCAGUCAGCAUCCAGCAAGGACCUGUCUGAAGUUGUCAAAGGAGGCCAUGGAGAACCAUUUUGUUGGGAGAUUAAAGUUUCAUGUAGUUUGCUCAAACCUUGUUCAUAGACCCUGGACUGAAAGAGUAAGGAGGUAUCAGAAGCCUGUACUCAUGGCUUCAGGUGUAAAUUUAGGAGUGGAUAGAGCCCAAGUAAGACCUGAGUGGAAACACAGCCAGGCAGUGAGGGGCCACAUCCCAGCCUCCUCUCCCUGUCUGCUUCCUGCUCAGAUAACUAGUCAUUACAGCUUCAGGUGGCCAUGAUAGGUAAGGUCCUAUUAGCUGACUAAUCCCCAGCUUUCACACCACAAAACAGAAUGAGGAUUAAAUAAUGUGAACAGUGCCUUAAAUGGUGGUUCUAGUUUUAUUAUUAAUAGUAAUACCAUUAUUGUUAUUUAUUUGUGGCACUAUUUACCGGGAGAGAGAAAACACAGGUGACAACGGGAUGCACUAGAUAACAUUGGUUCCGUGACAGAGCAGGCUCUCCAGCACCCUGCCCGUGAUCCUGACCCAGGUUGGUUCAUCCACAACUGCCCACUUUCCAUCUGCCAGGCUGCCGAUCACUGCACAAAACCAGCUACUUCAAUUGAUUCGUCAUCUUCUUCAUUCCUAUUGAUCAACGGCAGUGUUGUGUCCUUACGCUCAUACCUGGGUUGGCACUGUGGCCUCUGCUGGCAGAGAGAACACCACACUGAGGUCUCAGUUUCGAUGCCCAGCAUGUGGAUUUACCGCCCUAGACACCAGUUGGGACAACUCAUGAGAACCAUGAGGAAGCUGAGCCAGUGACAUCAUGGAGUCUCAAAGGCUCUGUUGAACCUGAAAGCACUGCUAUUCUGGAAAUACGGCAGCAGGGAAAGGAAGGAAGCGGAGACUGACUGAUGCCGAACAGCAGCCGGCGAGGACUCGGGACCCCUCGUCCCAAUCCACGGUUAAUAUAGAGGUGCUGACAGGAUGGGACUCAUGGGAACUGCCUCAGCCUGCCCACUGCACGUCCUCACACUCUUGGAUGGAAGUACGAAUGAAUGCAGUGUCCAUGGAGAUGAGGAGGGAUUCCUCGAAGCUGAAGUUUCGGGUGGUCGUGAGCUGCCCCGACACGGGUGCGGCUCCUCAUCUCUGUCAACAGCCCUUUCUUCUCUGGAUUUGACAAUGCACGCAUCCAUCUUCGUGCAGAGAAACAUCUGGGCUCUUGGCAGCGCCUCACCCGACAGAACUCUGCACCAGGAGAACUCAGAGAGCAGGAGGAAGGGGAUGGAGGACCAGCACUGGUGGUCUCUGACUCAGAGGGAGAGACUCAUUCCUCUCAUCUUGCCAGAGCUCAGUGCUUUUCUUUUUUAUACUCUCAAUGAGACAACCUUUAACUUUGAGGAGAACUGAUUUA